AGUGAACGCUGGCGGUAGGCCUAACACAUGCAAGUCGAACGGCAGCACAGUAAGAGCUUGCUCUUACGGGUGGCGAGUGGCGGACGGGUGCGGAAUACAUCGGAAUCUACUUUUUCGUGGGGGAUAACGUAGGGAAACUUACGCUAAUACCGCAUACGACCUACGGGUGAAAGCAGGGGAUCUUCUGACCUUGCGCGAUUGAAUGAGCCGAUGUCGGAUUAGCUAGUUGGCGGGGUAAAGGCACACCAAGGCGACGAUCCGUAGCUGGUCUGAGAGGAUGGUCAGCCACACUGGAACUGAGACACGGUCCAGACUCCUACGGGAGGCAGCAGUGGAGAAUAUUGGACGAUGGGCGCGAGCCUGAUCCAGCCAUACCGCGUGGGGGAAGAAGGCCUUCGGGUUGUAGAGCCCUGUUGUUGGGAAAGAAAAGCAGCAGGUUAAUACCCCGCUGUUCUGACGGUACCCAAAGAAUAAGCACCGGCUAACUUCGUG
rnacentral:rRNA from 1 species